CCUACGGGUGGCAGCAGUGGGGGAUAUUGCACAAUGGGGGGAACCCUGAUGCAGCGACGCCGCGUGGGUGAAGGAGUGCUUCGGCAUGUAAAGCUCUAUCGGCAGGGAAGAAGCAAGACGGUACCUGACUAAGAAGCCCCGGCUAACUACGUGCCAGCAGCCGCGGUAAUACUGAGGGGGCGGGCGUUAUCCGGAUUCACGGGGUGGAAAGGGAGCGUAGACGGGCAUGCAAGCCAGGGGUGAAAGCCGGGGGCCCAACCCCGGGACUGCCCUUGGAACUGCGUUGCUUGAGUGGGGGGGGGGCAGGCGGAAUUCCUGGUGUAGCGGUGAAAUGCGUAGAUAUCAGGAGGAACACCGGCGGCGAAGGCGGCCUGCUGGACCGCGACUGACGUUGAGGCUCGAAAGCGUGGGGAGCGAACAGGAUUAGAUACCCUUGUAGUC
rnacentral:rRNA from 1 species